GUGGUGUGGCCGAGUGGUCUAAGGCGUUGCGUUAAGGCCGCAAUCUCUCCGGGGGCGUGGGUUCGAACCCCACCGCCA
rnacentral:tRNA from 1 species